GACGAACGCUGGCGGCGUGCUUAACACAUGCAAGUCGAACGGUGAAAGCGGAGCUUGCUCCGCUGGAUCAGUGGCGAACGGGUGAGUAACACGUGGGCAACCUGCCCCUCACUUCGGGAUAACUCCGGGAAACCGGGGCUAAUACCGGAUAUGACCUCCUUGGGCAUCCUUGGAGGUGGAAAGUUUUUCGGUGAGGGAUGGGCCCGCGGCCUAUCAGCUUGUUGGUGAGGUAGUGGCUCACCAAGGCGACGACGGGUAGCCGGCCUGAGAGGGCGACCGGCCACACUGGGACUGAGACACGGCCCAGACUCCUACGGGAGGCAGCAGUGGGGAAUAUUGCGCAAUGGGCGAAGGCCUGACGCAGCAACGCCGCGUGCGGGAUGACGGCCUUCGGGUUGUAAACCGCUUUCAGCAGGGAAGAAGCCGCAAGGUGACGGUACCUGCAGAAGAAGCACCGGCUAACUACGUGCCAGCAGCCGCCGCAG
rnacentral:rRNA from 1 species